rnacentral:pre_miRNA from 1 species
UUGCCUUGAGGGGCCGCUGCCUCUAACCAGGACUUUGCAUGACCAGGAGGCAGAGGCCCCUCAUAGGCGGC